UGGAAACCRACACAUUGGUUCCUCAAACAGUGUCUUGACAUCGACAACAUAGAAGUUUGCUAUAUUCUUGGCAUGGUAUACAAGGCUUUGGAAUCACCCAAAAUCUCAAGCUAUCUGGUGGCUCUGAAGUUGAUAACUUGAUKCCAGAACUCAGAGAUGGAAAAUAGAAUACGCGUGGAACGUACAAAAGUUGAAAAGAAAAGUUGUAAUCCUUCAAUCUCUCUCGAUCUUCUUCCUCUCUCGAUUUCAGGUACUCGAUCCCUUCUCCCUAUCUCUCUUCUUCAAGUCUAAGGCUUCUGCUAGAUUGUUUUAUGAUUAUUUUCCGAGUAAUUAGAACCAAGCUGAUAAAUUCGGCUCUAUUGACAUUGGUUCGGUUCCCCAAUCUCUUCUAAAUUGGAAACAUUGAAUAUUCCAUUCUCGGUUAAAUUCAACCAAUGCUGACACUACAAUAAGGUUAUGUUCUACUUCUACCCCUCGAAGGUACAUAACAUUUUUGAAUGUCCUGCUGAUUGACUACUACAUCUAGGGACGGGAUYRAUCCCGAAAGAGAGGUCUUUCUUUCGACCUUUUUCUAUUUAUUAAGAUUGGCAAUUUUGUUGGAUCCUUUAAUUUCCAGAAAAUUUGCCACCAAUGCAGCCCUGCAUGCAAGGUGUAAGGAGCUUGCUUCAGUACUAUUUUUCACUUUCAGAUAUGCACAAUGAGCACGUUUCACUGAAAAAAUAGUUUGUUUCGAAGUAUUUGUUGCCUCGGUGUGUUGGUCUCCUUGAAAUUAAAGUGGUAAGAACAGUUGUGUAGUUGUGUCGAAACGAAACACGGUUACCUCCAAAUACUGG